ensembl:lncRNA
GCCAGAGAGGCACCCGGGAACCGAGAGCCUGCGGCCCAGCGCGGCCCCAGGACCGGCAGCCCCUGUCGCGGGUCUCCCGCGGCCAGCUUGCAGCACGUGGCCGCGGGGGCCGGGGGACAGCGAGCUCAGUGGGAAGAGAGGGCCUUGGUUCCGCGAAGGCGCGUGUGCCACUGGCUGCGGCGGGGUCGGCGGAGCGGAACCGGUCUGCUGAUGGCUGCCUGGUCGCGAAGCGGUCCCUCCUUAGACGCCCCCCGCGCACACGGGCGCGCGUGCGGGUACACACUGGAGGCACCGACGAGCACGCGCAGUUGCACAUGUGCGCGUGCCCCAACCGCCCCAGCUGUAACCUGAGCUCGGCUUCGCGUCUCUCCAGCACAGACUCUGGUCCCGCUCCGGGCAGAGGCUCCAUGUCUGGCGGGCGCAGCCAGGCCUAAGCUCGCGAAGCAGCCGGGCACCGCCACGGCCUGGGGGGCCGCCCAACCUGACCUGCCUGGGCGGCUCCCCCGGAAUGUCGCGCCCCCCCAACCCCCGCCUCUCACCUCACAAUGCUGUGUUUUCUUCCCUCCUGACAAGAUCACUCUCUGGAUCGCUGUUGCCUGUUAUUUGUUUAUGGUUGAUCUCCAGGCAAUACCGCCCACACAGCUCCCAAGACAGAAGCUUCAAAGCCGACGGACUGUGUCGGCUUCAUUCAUUCCGGAGUUCCUAGCACCUGGCACAGGCCCUGGGACGGACCGCGUGCUCAGGAACCGGCCCUGGCUGGCUGAGUACUGACCCACUGACCGACUGACUGACUAGGCUCCCCUGCUGGUGAGCCAGCCGCUCCAGGUUCAGAGAGGCAAGAAUCUGAGUAGCUGAGAGCAGAGACUUUCAUUUCGGUCCCAGCUGUGCUGCCCAAGUGGUGGCGUCACCAAGUCCCUUCGCUGCCCCCUGCCUCAGUGUCCCCGUGUGUGGAACAGGCAUAAGCGCGGUAGGCACCUGUGGCGGCGAUGCGGGAUUGGCUGAGCUGGUCCACGGCAGCGCAGGGGCCCAGAGCAACAGCUGGCAAAAGGAAGCAUUCAGUCACGCUAGUCACCGCUACACCAUCCAUCAACCAAAGAGACCUCCCAAGCCGGAGCUCAGAUAGGGGACAUGGCUAUGAGACCGCAGAGACGGGAUCUGAACCGUGGUCCAAACACCUCAGAGGAUGAAGCCCUUUCUAAGGCUCCACCGGCCGCAGCGCCUUCCUUGGAGUGUGGUCUGCCUGGCCCUUGGGCGUGAGGCUUGGGAGCUAGGAUGAAGGCCCAGCAAAGGGUGAGGGCCUGGGAGAGGGGAGGAGGGGCUGUGGCCCCAACUCCCAGACCUGAUGGGAGACCAUCCUGGCUGCCCCACUUCUACCGCCUGCAGCCGCACCCCCCCCCCCAUCAGGGGACUCUUAACAGAGUUCUAUGACUUCAUCCGAAUAUAUGCAUAAACUAAGGAAGCAACAUUGUACCCCAAGAGCUGCAAGUCCGCACGAUUCCUCCUGGAGCUGCCUGCCUGCACAGUGGUUCUCCAGCUUUCCGCACCUAUUAGCAGGGGAAGGAGGCGCCCACCUGGGAGUGUCGGGUGGGGUCUGAGUAGCCGAAGGGGCCUCCAUCAGAGCUGCCUGCGCCUUCUCUGCGUUCAAGGUCCCACACUGAACUGGGGCCACACCAGAAAGGGACUGGGGACCGUCCCCUUUCCUCCCAUCAUCUCUAGCAUCCCUCUCAGCCAAACUGAACCAAAAUACCUUCCAAGUGGAAGCUUUGUGUUUGCUGCAAGAUAGGUUGCCUAGGUUUUCACCAGUGUGAGAGAGAAGAAAAUUUUCUUUUAAUUUUAGUUGCAAUUCCCUGACUAUUACUAUAUCUAAAGUUAAGCAUCUUUUUAUUUACACGCUGGUCACUGAUAUUCUUCUGGGCUUCUCAGGUGGCGAUAGUGGUGAAGAACCUGCCUGCCAAGGCAGGAGACCUAAGAGACAUAGGUUUGAUCCCUGGGCUGGAAACGUCCCCUGGAGGAAGGCACUGCAACCCACUCCAGUAUUCUUGGCGGGAGAAUCCCAUGGACAGAGGAGCCUGGCGGGCGAUAGUCCAUGGGGUUGCAAAGAGUCAGACAUGGCUGAAAUGACUUAGCAUGCAUUAUGCCGGAUAGACUGUUUCCAUAUAGAUCUCCACCAAGUAUAUAGAUUUUUAUAUAGCUCUUAUUCUUUAUUGAAGAUUUCAUUGUUUUGCCACUGAAUUUAAAAAGCCAGCUUCAUGGUAAACUAUUUUCCACAUGCACACAGUACAUUCCCUUCCCUUCUGAGGGAAA